GACGAACGCUGGCGGCGUGCCUAAUACAUGCAAGUCGAGCGGACUUUCAAGAAGCUUGCUUUUUGAAAGUUAGCGGCGGACGGGUGAGUAACACGUGGGCAACCUGCCUGUAAGACGAGGAUAACUCCGGGAAACCGGGGCUAAUACCGGAUAAUAUCUUUCUUCGCAUGAAGGAAGGUUGAAAGGCGGCGCAAGCUGCCGCUUGCAGAUGGGCCCGCGGCGCAUUAGCUAGUUAGUGAGGUAACGGCUCACCAAGGCGACGAUGCGUAGCCGACCGGAGAGGGCGAGCGUCCACCAUGGAGCCGAGACACGGCCCUGACUCUUACGGGAGGCAGCAGUAGGGAAUCUUCCGCAAUGGACGAGAGCCUGACGGAGCACCGCCGCGUGAGCGAAGAAGGUCUCCGGAUCGUAAAGCUCUGAUUUCAGGGAAGAACAAGUACCGUUCGAAUAGGGCGGUACCUUGACGGUACCUGACCAGAAAGCCACGGCUAACUACGUGCCAGCCGCCGCCGUAA
rnacentral:rRNA from 1 species